GCUACUUAACCUUAUGAAACAUCUUUUCUCAUGUACUCGAACUAGUGUCUGUAUAUUCAUAACAUAUUUUACAUAUUGUAAAGCCAAUUUUACAUUCAUGUGAGGAUUGUUGGAAAUGGGUUUGACAAAAUAAAUAUUAAAGCAUUUUGAGGCUUAAUUUAUUGUAGGACCCACAUUCCGAAAAUGUCAGGUUUUUGCACAAAUGCGUUCUCCUCAACGAGGAGAAUAACGUGGUAUAUUUAUGUGUUCAAAUCCAUUAAGAAUUGAAUGAGAAAAUUGAUUCCAAAGUCACCUACUUGAAAUGUUAAAGUCCCACAUAGGGCAUUAGAGGGAAAAAUGAAGAAUUUAUAUAUGGGAUGUUUGCUCAAUGGGAAGGGCCCCAAGG
rnacentral:lncRNA from 1 species